rnacentral:rRNA from 1 species
UGGGGAAUUUUGGACAAUGGGGGAAACCCUGAUCCAGCCAUCCCGCGUGUGCGAUGAAGGCCUUCGGGUUGUAAAGCACUUUUGGCAGGAAAGAAACGUCAUGGGUUAAUACCCCGUGAAACUGACGGUACCUGCAGAAUAAGCACCGGCUAACUACGUGCCAGCAGCAGCGGUAAUAUGUAGGGUGCAAGCGUUAAUCGGAAUUACUGGGCGUAAAGCGUGCGCAGGCGGUUCGGAAAGAAAGAUGUGAAAUCCCAGAGCUCAACUUUGGAACUGCAUUUUUAACUACCGGGCUAGAGUGUGUCAGAGGGAGGUGGAAUUCCGCGUGUAGCAGUGAAAUGCGUAGAUAUGCGGAGGAACACCGAUGGCGAAGGCAGCCUCCUGGGAUAACACUGACGCUCAUGCACGAAAGCGUGGGGAGCAAACAGG